GGAGUUUGGUCCGUGUCUCAGUACCAAUGUGGGGGACCUUCCUCUCAGAACCCCUACUGAUCGUUGCCUCGGUGGGCCGUUACCCCGCCGACAAGCUAAUCAGACGCAUCCCCAUCCCUCAGCGGUAAACCUUUAUUCCUCGUUAGAUGCCUGCAAAGGAAAACAUAGGGUAUUAAUCCGCAUUUCUUACGGGCU
rnacentral:rRNA from 1 species